rnacentral:rRNA from 1 species
UGAGUAACCUGCCCCAGACUCUGGAAUGAGCGCUGGAAACGGCGUCUAAUACCGGAUAUGAGACGGAGUCGCAUGACUACCGUCUGGUAAAGUUUUUCGGUCUGGGAUGGACUCGCGGCCUAUCAGCUUGUUGGUGAGGUAACGGCUCACCAAGGCAAUGACGGGUAGCCGGCCUGAGGAGGGCGAUCGGCCACACGUGGGACUGAGACACGGCCCAGACCUCCGUACGGGAGCAG